CAGCAGCCACGGGAAUACGUAGGGUGCGAGCGUUAAUCGGAAUUACUGGGCGUAAAGCGUGCGCAGGCGGUUGUGCGAGACAGAUGUGAAAUCCCCGAGCUUAACUUGGGAACUGCAUUUGUGACUGCACGGCUAGAGUGUGUCAGAGGGGGGUAGAAUUCCACGUGUAGCAGUGAAAUGCGUAGAUAUGUGGAGGAAUACCGAUGGCGAAGGCAGCCCCCUGGGAUAACACUGACGCUCAUGCACGAAAGCGUGGGGAGCAAACAGGAUUAGAUACCCCUGUAGUCCCUGUCUCUUAUAC
rnacentral:rRNA from 1 species